UAAGGAAUAUUGGUCAAUGGACGCAAGUCUGAACCAGCCAUGCCGCGUGAAGGAUGAAGGUCCUCUGGAUUGUAAACUUCUUUUAUCUGGGACGAAAACGGGAUUUUUAUCUCAAUUGACGGUACCAGAGGAAUAAGCACCGGCUAACUCCGUGCCAGCAGCCGCGGUAAUACGGAGGGUGCGAGCGUUAUCCGGAUUUACUGGGUUGAAAGGGUGCGUAGGUGGGCUUAUAAGUCAGUGGUGAAAUCUCCGAGCUUAACUUGGAAACUGCCGUUGAUACUAUGGGUCUUGAAUUAUCUGGGGGUAAGCGGAAUAUGUCAUGUAGCGGUGAAAUGCUUAGAUAUGACAUAGAACACCAAUUACGAAGGCAGCUUACUACAUAUAAAUUGACGCUGAGGCACGAAAGCGUGGGGAUCAAAC
rnacentral:rRNA from 1 species